GGCUCAUAUGGUGAAAAUGCUAGGAGAAAGCCACACACACCAUCCGCUAUUGUUAUUGGUGGUGGGUUUGCAGGUCUUGCUGCUGCUGAUGCGCUCAGAAAUGCAUCCUUCCAGGUUAUUCUUCUGGAAUCUCAUGAUAGAAUUGGUGGCAGAGUUCACACUGACUACUCUUUUGGGUUUCCAGUCGAUUUGGGAGCAUCUUGGCUUCAUGGCGUCUGUGAAGAAAAUCCCUUGGCACCAAUAAUUGGAAGGCUUGGACUUCCACUAUACCGCACAAGUGGAGAUGAUUCUGUACCGCAAAAGGAUCUGAAACAAUGGUCAAGGACCCCACUCUGGCUCUGUAGUAUAUAACAGAAUCUCACCACACAAGAUCGAUAACCCUUUCAGAUCAUACUGUACCAAGCUGCUACUUCACUUCAGUAGAACAAUUGAUCACACACAAGAAGUUCAGAUCAGAAAAUGCAGGCUGUCGCUACUCCCGUCAGGUUCUCGGAUUAGUCAAGGGCUGACCAUGGAGAAGAGCACGGUGGUGGUCAGUAUCCCUGUUGUUGUCAUGGCCGAGACUGCUGAGAUCGACUACAGCUCGAGCUUCUCGGUGUUCACAAUGGAGGCUUACGACCUACUCGGUGAUGACGUGUGCAGCGCGCAGAUGUACUCGGAGGCCAAGCUCGCCUCAGUGGCAGCAACAGUGAGUAGGAGGGUGGAGAAGGUGGAGAGGGACUACCUGUCGCACGACAAGCCAAGAAC